CCUACGGGUGGUAGCAGUGGGGAAUAUUGGGCAAUGGGCGCAAGCCUGACCCAGCAACGCCGCGUGAAGGAAGAAGGCUUUCGGGUUGUAAACUUCUUUUAAGGGGGAAGAGCAGAAGACGGUACCCCUUGAAUAAGCCACGGCUAACUACGUGCCAGCAGCCGCGGUAAUACGUAGGUGGCAAGCGUUGUCCGGAUUUAUUGGGUGUAAAGGGCGUGUAGGCGGGAAAGCAAGUCAGAUGUGAAAACUCAGGGCUCAACCCUGAGCCUGCAUUUGAAACUGUUUUUCUGGAGUGCUGGAGAGGCAAUCGGAAUUCCGUGUGUAGCGGUGAAAUGCGUAGAUAUACGGAGGAACACCAGUGGCGAAGGCGGAUUGCUGGACAGUAACUGACGCUGAGGCGCGAAAGCGUGGGGAGUAAACAGGAUUAGAUACCCGGGUAGUC
rnacentral:rRNA from 1 species